rnacentral:rRNA from 1 species
UACGAAGGGUGCAAGCGUUGCUCGGAAUUAUUGGGCGUAAAGGGUAGGUAGGUGGUCUCAUGUGUCUGGGGUGAAAGCCUUGGGCUUAACUCAAGAAGUGCCCCAGAAACGGUGAGACUAGAAUCUGUGAGAGGGUCGUGGAAUUCCCGGUGUAGCGGUGAAAUGCGUAGAGAUCGGGAGGAACACCAGAGGCGAAGGCGGCGACCUGGAACAGUAUUGACACUCAACUACGAAAGCGUGGGUAGCAAACAGG